rnacentral:rRNA from 1 species
UAAAUUUGACCUCAAAUCAGGUAGGAAUACCCGCUGAACUUAAGCAUAUCAAUAAGCGGAGGAAAAGAAACCAACAGGGAUUGCCUCAGUAGCGGCGAGUGAAGCGGCAAAAGCUCCACUUUGAAAGCGUUUCGGCGCGUUGUAGUGUGGUUCAGUCUUUGAAUUUGGGGGGAACUAAGUCCUUUGGAACAAGGCGCCAUAGAGGGUGAGAGCCCCGUGAGUUUCCCUUUACUUUAUUCUCCAAGUCUGUACCGAAGAGUCGAGUUGUUUGGGAAUGCAGCUCUAAGUGGGUGGUAAAUUCCAUCUAAGGCUAAAUAUUGGCGAGAGACCGAUAGCGAACAAGUACAGUGAUGGAAAGAUGAAAAGCACUUUGAAAAGAGAGUGAAACAGUACGUGAAAUUGUUGAAAGGGAAGGGUAUUUGGCUCGACAUGGGUCCUGUGCACCGUUGCCUCUUGUAGGCGGCGCUCUGCUGGGGCCUGGGCCAGCAUCAGUUUUCUGGCGGGGAUAAGGCCUUGUGAACUACAUUGUAGGGAUCGGGGCGAUGCCCGCACGGGGGACUGAGGACUGCCGUUUUUGUAGGAUGCUGGCAUAACGGCCAAAUACCGC